rnacentral:lncRNA from 1 species
AUGGCUGGUUUUGGGCUUUCUCUUACGGAGGGCCUGGUUAUGGAAAUACGGCAUGCAGUGUCUGAUCAGAGAGGGACUGAUGUGUCGUAUGCUGACUUUCAGCGAUUGUGUGAGUAUGGCAGAAUUGAGGGGUUCUUCCCUGUGGUUGAAGCGAUUUUUUCGCAGUUGGCUUGGGAUGCUUUAGGCAAUUCCCUGAUCGAGGCUCUGCUGGUCAGUUAUAAGCCCCGGGUGCUCCAGUUGCUGGGGAUCUGGCGAAGGUGCUUUCUGAGGUCAGGUCCCGAGGUCGGCUCCCCCAGGAUCGCCGGGGCCCCCGGCAGGUUGAACGGGGCCACCGCGGGACCGGUGGGCGUGACCCCGCCUCGGCCGGCGCCCCAGCGGUGGAAGCCCGAGGCGGGCUCUCCUCCUCCGUGUGCCCUCCCGGCACAGACCGAUGGGGGGGUGCUUAAACAGAGGGCCGUGCCAGCUCUGGGGGAUGCCUCAGGGUCUGUUCUAUGUCCCUGCUGCGGCUGGGCCGUGCCCUGCCCCGCGGGGGGGGAUGGGCAGGGCCCGGGCUCUGCGCCGGCAGCCGUGCACGCUGCUCCAGUGCAGGAGCAGCCGGCGCCGCUUCUUGGACCUUUCACCCCUGAAGAAAUGCUGCUAGGGGCGGUUCCGAGCGCUGCCCUCCCCGCGUCGGGAGCGGGCUGUGCCGAGCUGCCUCUAACCGCCCCCGCCUCGGGUUCCCAGGCAUCACCCGAGCCUGCGGCUGGAGCUGGCCCUCCCCCAUCGCCUCCUGUGGCUGUGGCAGACCAAGGUCCUGAGCUGUUUACCACUGGCUCGGUUGGUGCUGCCGCGGGGGCGAAGCUGGUGGCCUCCACAGAAAAAGGGUCCAAGGCUGCUGGAGCCUCUUCGGCUGGCCUGUGGACUUUGUCCUCCUAUAAGAUGUCUCUGCAGCUGAGCGUAUCAGGCAUUCCAUGUGCUUCCGAAUGCUUUUAUCCGGUGCGUGAGGGCAUGAGUACUCUUCUUGUGGCGUGGUUGAAUACCACUGCUCAGGGCAUCAUUGCUCACCUAGGGGACGUUGAUUCGGAAUUCCUGGGGUGCAUUUCUGCCAUGAGUUCCACACACACCCCUCCUGUUCCUAUCCCUGCGGGAUCCGGCUUUGCUCACCUUGUGCCUUUUGAGUUUUAUGUUCGCAGAGCUGAGAUCCAGCUGCGAGGAGAUGGUGGCUUCGGGUUCCCUGGACCUUCCUGGUUUCACGGACUGCUGUUCUGA